GCUCUUUGAGUCUUGCAGUUGGAAUGAGUACAAUUUAAACCCCUUAACGAGUAACAAUUGGAGGGCAAGUCUGGUGCCAGCAGCCGCGGUAACUCCAGCUCCAAUAGCGUAUAUUAAAGUUGUUGCAGUUAAAAAGCUCGUAGUUGAACUUCAGACCUGGCCGGGCGGUCCGCUUAACGGCGUGUACUGUCUGGCUGGGCCUUACCUCUUGGUGAGCCGGCGUGCUCUUUAUUGGUGUGCGUCGGGGAACCAGGACUUUUA
rnacentral:rRNA from 1 species